GUGUUUGCAUGAACUUUGUGAAUGGUACAAGAUGAGAUACAGUCGGCAAGAUAAGACAGCAGUGUUGCAGCCACUGGGAAUGGUCGAGACUUAACUACCCAUAAUCUAUUGUCACUCCAUAGAAAACGCACAAUUUGAAUCAGGUGUGAUGGGAGGUUGGUAAAGCUGCGCCUGCAGUUAUAAAAACAUUUGUUUGAACAGGCAUUGUGCACUUUUAGUCCGGGAAUCUAGGGAGAUAACAGGUAAUCCUGUGACAUUGGAGAAUCCGCUUAGGCUGUGCAAAGACCUGGGGCAGGGUCUUCUCCCAGGAGCGCACGCCACUUACCUCAGCCAGGAGCACACAGGCUAAGACGCACAGUCAGAAGCAGCACUGAACAUGUCGGACUCUGAGAGCGCUGCUGUCCUUGCUGAGGCCCCCGUGCCCGCUGCCUGUGAGGCCAUCAAGGCUGACCUGGACAAGUGUGUGAAAGAGAAUGGUGAGGAGGGCUGCAAGGAGCUGAUGGAGGCGUUCGCAGCCUGUGUGAAGAGCGCUGCUGGGGCAUCGUGAGGAGCUCGGCUCACAGGAAAUGUCCACUGCACUGAGUCCUCCACCUUCCCAGCAUUCCCUUCUGCACAUGGCACUGGACUGAAUGAUACAGAUUCUGAUGGGGGGUUUGGUGGCAGAGUCUUCGUCUUGUCCCCUUGAUCCCCCCCCUCCUGUAAAGCUUAAGUGAUUUCUGAGCCUGCCCCUCUGUCCCCUGCCCCUAUGGCUGAAUUGUAGGCAGUUCUGGAGAGCCCAUGGCUGUUAUGUAAAUUGUCUUCUCAAGAUGCUUACAUUUAAAUGCAAAUAAUAAAGUGAUGAUUGGUACAGUG